UACGUAGGGAGCAAGCGUUGUCCGGAAUCAUUGGGCGUAAAGCGCGCGUAGGUGGCUUCGUAAGUCCGUUGUGAAAGUCAAGGCUCAACCUUUGAAAGCCGAUGGAUACUGCGGAGCUAGAGUACGGAAGAGGCGAGUGGAAUUCCUGGCGUAGCGGUGAAAUGCGUAGGAUAUCUGGAAGGAACACCGGUGGCGAAAGGCGGCAUCCGUCGGGAGCCCGGUAUUCGGAAGCCG
rnacentral:rRNA from 1 species